UACGUAGGGUCCGAGCGUUGUCCGGAAUUAUUGGGCGUAAAGAGCUCGUAGGCGGUUUGUCGCGUCUGCUGUGCGAAAUCCCGAGCUCAACCUCGGGGUCUGGCAGGUGGGUACGGGCAGACUGGAGUGGCGGUAGGGGAGAAUGGAAUUCCUGGUGUAGCGGUGGAAUGCGCAGAUAUCAGGAGGAACACCGAUGGCGAAGGCAGUUCUCUGGGCCGUAACUGACGCUGAGGAGCGAAAGCGUGGGGAGCGAACAGG
rnacentral:rRNA from 1 species